rnacentral:rRNA from 1 species
UAACAGGAAAUUAAUAAGGGCGCACGGUGGAUGCCUAGACUUUAAGUAGCGAUGAAGGACGUAGUGUAGCUGCGAUAUGCUUCGGGGAGGUGCUAAACAACCUUUGAUCCGGAGAUUUCCGAAUGGGGAAACCCUAUAGAGUAAACCUCUAUAAUUUUGUUCGCAAGAACAUUAAGCGUACCCUGGGAAGUGAAACAUCUCAGUACCAGGAGGAGAAGAAACAAAUAUGUAUUUCCUAAGUAGCGGCGAGCGAAAAGGAAGAAGCCCAAACCGAAUCGCAAGAUUCGGGGUUGUAAGACAACAAUGUAGAUUUCUAGAAGAGUCAAAAAAUAAGUUAUUAGCUGAAUUUGCUGGAAAGCAAAACCAUAGGGAGUGAUAGUCUCGUAAGCGAAAAUAAUUUAUCUCUUUUAUUGUUGUUCUUGAGUACCCCAGGACACCAAAAGCCGGGGGGAAUCUACCAGAACUAACUGGAAAGGCUAAAUAUACUUAAAGAUCGAUAGUGAACUAGUACCGUGAGGGAAAGGUGAAAAGUAGUCCGGUGAGGACGAUGAAAUAGACCUGAAACCGUGUGUCUACAAGGAGUCGAUGCUCGCAUUUAUGUGAGCUACGGCGUGCCUAUUGAAGAAUGAGCCAACGAGUUUAUGCAUGUUGCGAGGCUAAGUCAGCUAAAAUGACGGAGCCAUAGGGAAACCGAGUGUUAAUAGCGCAAAUGAGUAAUAUGCAUAAGACCCGAAGCAAGGUGAGCUACCCAUGAGCAGGGUGAAGUAAUGCGAAAGCGUUAUGGAGGCCCGAACCCGUUGAUCGUAUAACGUCUUGGGAUGACUUGUGGGUUGGAGUGAAAAGCUAAUCGAACCUUGUAAUAGCUGGUUCUCUCCGAAAUAGCUUUAGGGCUAGCGUCGCAUGUUUCUUUUGGGGGUAGAGCACUGGAAGGAUUCAACAGGGAGCAAUCUCGUGAAUCCUAUCAAACUCCGAAUACCAAAAGCUAUAGUGUGGCAGUUAGGCUAUGGGGGCGAAGCUCCAUUGGCCAAAAGGGAAACAGCCCAGAUCUCAAAAUAAGGUCCCUAAAUUCAUGCUAAGUGUAAGACAAGAAGGUGAGAUUUCUCUGACAAUGAGGAGGUUGGCUUAGAAGCAGCCAUCCUUUAAAGAUAGCGUAACAGCUCACUCAUCCAGAGAUCUUGCGUCGAAAAUAAUUGGGGCUAAGCAUGGUACCGAAUUUGAGGAUUCGUUAUUCCCUCGGGAAUAACGAGUGGUAGGAGAGUGUUCCAAUCUGCAGUGAAGGCAGACUCGUAAGAGCUGCUGGAGCGUUUGGAAGUAAGAAUGUUGGCACAAGUAACCGCAAUGGGGCUGAGAACGCCCCACGUCGAAAGAUCAAGGUUUCCUUGGUAAUGAUAAUCAUCCAAGGGUUAGUCGGUCCUAAGGGGAUGGCGAAAGCCGAACUCGAUGGACAUAAGGUUAAUAUUCCUUAACUUUCUUAUUUUGUGAUGGGAGGACGAAAUGCAGUAUAUCUUGCUCAUUAAUGGAUUUGAGUUUGCUUAUCGAGGGUCUUGCAUAGGAAAAUCCGUGCAGUGUCUUAAAUGACAGAUCAUUGAGGAUAAGUGAAAAGUUUACAGCUUCGGCUGUGGGCAAUCUGAUAAAACGCGUUUCCAAGAAAAUUCUCUAAACUUAGAAAUAAGAAAUCCGUACCGCAAACCAACACAGGUGAUCAGGUCGAGUAGACCAAGACGAACGAGUGAGAGGUCCCCAAGGAACUCGGCAAAAAAGCAGCCGUAACUUCGGGAUAAGGCUUGCCCUCCAUUUAUUUGGAGGGCCGCAGCGAAAGAUUCCCUGGCAACUGUUUACCAAAAACACAGCUCCCUGCGAACUCGCAAGAGGAUGUAUAGGGGGUGACACCUGACCAAUGCCAGAAGGUCAAACAACGCCGUUGAGAUUAUAUCAAGGUGAGUGUUGUAAGCCCUGGUGAAUGUCGGCCGUAACUAUAACGGUCCUAAGGUUCUACGCGUAACUUAAUUGUUGUGCGCGGAAUGACUGGGACCGUUAAGAAAAAGGUAAACUAGUUAAUUAGAAAAUCAUAUGACCAAUUCGAAUGCUACCUACCGUACAGUAAUGUGCGGUCAGUCAAAACUUGACUAACGAGAGACCAGCGUCAAGCAACCUACUCCUUAAAAAGAGGUUGAAGAUAGAGUCCUUCUUAGGUAUAGAAGAGCGAAAUACCUUGUCGGGUAAAUUCCGACGCGCACGAAUGGUGUAAUGACUAGGGAACUGUCUCGGGGACCAGCUCGGUGAAAAUACAAUACCGGUGAAGAUGCCGGUUAAGUGCAGUUAGACGAAAAGACCCUAGAAGCUUUACUAUAACUUGAUAUUGAGCAUGUUUUUAAACUGCGUAGAAUAGAUGGGAGAGGUCUGAUGUUCAGGAUUUCGGUUCUGAUCUACUCAACAGUGAAAUACCAUUCUUUUUGAAGGCAUGUUCUAACCUGUACGGUAAAAACGUACGGAGACAGUAUCUGGUGGAUAGUUUUACUGGGGCUGUACCCUCCUAAAAAGUAAAGGAGGGGUUUAAAGGUUAGCUAGGCGCGAAUGGAAACCGUGCCGAUAGUGUAUAGGCACAAGCUAGCUUGACUGUAAGUCGUACAUGACAAGCAGGUGGGAAACCAGAACUAAGUGAACCGACCAUACGUAUUAGACGCGGUGGAAGAUUAACGGAUAAAAGCUACUCUAGGGAUAACAGGCUAGUUCCGCCCAAGAGUUCAUAUCGACGGCGGAGUUCGGCACCUCGAUGUCGGCUCACCUUAGCGCGGUGGUGGAGAAGCUACCAAGCGUUUGGCUGUUCGCCAAUUAAAAAGGUACGCGAGCUGGGUUCAGACCGUGGAGGAGUUACAUCAUAUAGCAAUAUAUAUAGUGACUUUUCCACAGUCUGAAUCCCAUGCGAGGAAAGAAAGAACUUGAAAAAGAACUUAAACUGUUUUAAUCGAAAUUAACCAAGUUGUGUGAUUCGCAAAGCGAAUUAACAUGACAUCACGGCGGCAUGCUGUAGUAAUACAACAUGAGAAGCUAACUUAUAUCGAAGAAAUCCGAAUCAUGAAAAUGAAGGACAACGUCGAGGGAAUAUUCAAUAAAAUGAAUUGCCCGUAGAGACUGAAUGUUAGACAACCACUAAGAAAUUAGCGAGUUGAAGUCACAGUCCAAUCCCCAUAGUAAUAUGGGAACACUUCGCGGAGGCGAAGUGGAUAGAUGCGUGAGACAGGUUGGUCUCCUAUCUACUGCACUCGUUGAUUCUUGAGAAGAUUUGCUCCUAGUACGAGAGGACCGGAGUGAACUGACCUCUGGUGUGAGAGCUCUGGCGCCAGCCGGACUGCUCUGUAGCUAUGUCGGGAAUGGAUAACCUCUGAAAGCAUCUAAGAGGGAAGCCAGCUUCAAGAUUAGGAAUCGUUUAGAACCCUGAGAGAUGAUCAGGUUGAUAGGCUUUAAGUGUACGCACAGUAAUGUGUUAAGCUGAGAAGUACUAAUGUUUCGAUUCCUGUUAGG